UACGAAGGGGGCUAGCGUUGUUCGGAAUUACUGGGCGUAAAGGGCGCGUAGGCGGUCCUGAUCGUCGGAUGUGAAAAAUCUGGGCUCAACCCAGUGGAGCACUCGAUACUGCGGUGACUGGAGUACGGUAGAGGAGUGUGGAAUUCCUGGUGUAGCGGUGAAAUGCGCAGAUAUCAGGAGGAACACCAACGGCGAAGGCAGCACUCUGGGCCGGUACUGACGCUGAGGAGCGAAAGCGUGGGGAGCAAACAGG
rnacentral:rRNA from 1 species